rnacentral:rRNA from 1 species
CACGCCGUAAACGAUGAAUACUAGGUGUCAGGGAGCACAGCUCUUUGGUGCCGCCGCAAACGCAUUAAGUAUUCCACCUGGGGAGUACGUUCGCAAGAAUGAAACUCAAAGGAAUUGACG